UUUUAGCCCAGAUAGUAAUGAAAAGCCUUUUGAAUUUUGUUGUAUUUUUUUCUGGCAGAAAAAAGCGACUGAAAGAAGCUCUUUUUGUGGCUUGAAAAAAAACAACAGAAGAAAAAAGCUUGUAAUGAAUAGCUGGAUUAGCU
rnacentral:sRNA from 2 species